rnacentral:tRNA from 1 species
GAGGGAAUAGUUCAAUGGUAGAGCACGUGCUUAGCAUGCACAAGGUCCUGGGUUCAACCCCCCAGUACCUCCA